rnacentral:lncRNA from 1 species
AUUGGCUUCUCUUCAGAGCCCUGAGAGAGCAGCCCUGCAGACACUGUUCAUGGACACUGACUGUGGCAAGAGGUGGCGACAGACCCUUGAGCUUAGUGGUCUAUAGCUAGUAGGAUUGAUGAUGGGGUAAUGUGGGAUUGAUAGGGCGAGUAACAUGGUAUUAAUAGUGGAUUCUCUGUGGGGUGGCUGGGGGCAUAUCAUGGGCCUGGUGGUUGUUGCAGCUCUGCUCUUGUCUUACUGUCUGCAUGGUAGAGCUUGGCUAAAGCCAAAGGACACCCUGGGCCUAUCUCCAUUGCCCUAGAGGAGAAGGCAGGGCAGGUUCAUUAGUCACAGCUGCUUCACCUGUUCUCUGUUCUCUCUGCUCUCAGGCUGUGGACAGUGCUGGGCCCACAGAAAAAGGUCCCUGACCUUGUAGACCAGGGCUUUGCAACCUAUCUGUGGGGAAUAAUAUGUUUUAUUAAUUUCCAAUGUGGACAGAGAUUUUAACACCCCCUUCCAGUACUUGUGAUGUGGUUUGGACACCACGUCUCUUCGCCCACCACUCACCAGGAUGGGACCAGACAGCCUCAGCCCUCCAUCUGAGAUAAUACCCCAAGCAGGGAACCUCUUGGGAAAAGGCAGAGUUGCUAUGCCAAAUAAAUCACAUGUCCAUUUAGUAAUAAACCAACACAAAUAGCACAAGUGGAUUUUUGUGGCGUUUCCAAAGGUGAGCCUGUCUGUCCAGUGAAGCUGAGGAAUCUGGACUGGGAGGACCCAGACUGCAGUCCGACCUCCAGCACCUUAGGCAGCCAGUGUUUCCAGUGCUGCAGCCACAGCUGAGGGGAAAACAGUUUACCAGACUUUAAUGAUGUUCACAAAACAACCACAGCCCUGGGCAUGUUGUGUGCUCUUUGUAAAUUAACUCACAUAAUCCUCACGACAACCUUCUAAGAUGGGCACUGUUGCCUUCAUCUCACCACGUUGGAUGGCACAGUCACCAAGUUCCUGACCUCCUCUUCUCUAUUGGUUUAUUCGCAGGCCGGAAAAGAGGCAUAAACUCGGAGAACCCAAGACCCCGGCCUGGCGUGCAGCCCCAGCAGCCGGACCAGCCUUGGGCAACAGCGUGCGACGUUCAGCUGUCUGUGUCUCCAGUGCUCCCAUUCCAUCGCACCUGAAUGAGGGAUUUGGGAGGUAAAACAGGCAAAUAAUGAAAUAUACAAAUCUUCAUUGUGCAGUUUUGAUCAGUUGCUUCUCCUAUGCAACCCUCACCCCAAUAGAGACACAGCCUCUCGUCGGAACGCUCCUGCACACCCUUCUCGCAACCCCCACCACCUGCCCCCCACUCCCGACCAGAGCAGCCGCCGUCCUGGUGUCUCCCAUCAGAGGUAAGUGUGGUCUCCCGACCAGAGCAGCCGCCGUCCUGGUGUCUCCCAUCAGAGGUAAGUGUGGUCUCCCGACCAGAGCAGCCGCCGUCCUGGUGUCUCCCAUCAGAGGUAAGUGUGGUCUCCCGACCAGAGCAGCCGCCGUCCUGGUGUCUCCCAUCAGAGGUAAGUGUGGUCUCCCGACCAGAGCAGCCGCCGUCCUGGUGUCUCCCAUCAGAGGUAAGUGUGGUCUCCCGACCAGAGCAGCCGCCGUCCUGGUGUCUCCCAUCAGAGGUAAGUGUGGUCUCCCGACCAGAGCAGCCACCGUCCUGGUGUCUGCCAUCAGAGGUAAGUGUGGUCUCCCGACCAGAGCAGCCACCGUCCUGGUGUCUGCCAUCAGAGGUAAGUGUGGUCUCCCGACCAGAGCAGCCACCGUCCUGGUGUCUCCCAUCAGAGGUAAGUGUGGUCUCCCGACCAGAGCAGCCACCGUCCUGGUGUCUCCCAUCAGAGGUAAGUGUGGUCUCCCGACCAGAGCAGCCACCGUCCUGGUGUCUCCCAUCAGAGGUAAGUGUGGUCUCCCGACCAGAGCAGCCGCCGUCCUGGUGUCUCCCAUCAGAGGUAAGUGUGGUCUCCCGACCAGAGCAGCCGCCGUCCUGGUGUCUCCCAUCAGAGGUAAGUGUGGUCUCCCGACCAGAGCAGCCGCCGUCCUGGUGUCUCCCAUCAGAGGUAAGUGUGGUCUCCCGACCAGAGCAACCGCCGUCCUGGUGUCUCCCAUCAGAGGUAAGUGUGGUCUCCCGACCAGAGCAGCCACCGUCCUGGUGUCUGCCAUCAGAGGUAAGUGUGGUCUCCCGACCAGAGCAGCCACCGUCCUGGUGUCUGCCAUCAGAGGUAAGUGUGGUCUCCCGACCAGAGCAGCCACCGUCCUGGUGUCUCCCAUCAGAGGUAAGUGUGGUCUCCCGACCAGAGCAGCCACCGUCCUGGUGUCUCCCAUCAGAGGUAAGUGUGGUCUCCCGACCAGAGCAGCCACCGUCCUGGUGUCUCCCAUCAGAGGUAAGUGUGGUCUCCCGACCAGAGCAGCCACCGUCCUGGUGUCUCCCAUCAGAGGUAAGUGUGGUCUCCCGACCAGAGCAGCCACCGUCCUGGUGUCUCCCAUCAGAGGUAAGUGUGGUCUCCCGACCAGAGCAGCCACCGUCCUGGUGUCUGCCAUCAGAGGUAAGUGUGGUCUCCCGACCAGAGCAGCCACCGUCCUGGUGUCUGCCAUCAGAGGUAAGUGUGGUCUCCCGACCAGAGCAACCACCGUCCUGGUGUCUCCCAUCAGAGGUAAGUGUGGUCUCCCGACCAGAGCAGCCACCGUCCUGGUGUCUCCCAUCAGAGGUAAGUGUGGUCUCCCGACCAGAGCAACCACCGUCCUGGUGUCUCCCAUCAGAGGUAAGUGUGGUCUCCCGACCAGAGCAACCACCGUCCUGGUGUCUCCCAUCAGAGGUAAGUGUGGUCUCCUGACCAGAGCAACCACCGUCCUGGUGUCUCCCAUCAGAGGUAAGUGUGGUCUCCUGACCAGAGCAACCACCGUCCUGGUGUCUCCCAUCAGAGGUAAGUGUGGUCUCCCGACCAGAGCAGCCACCGUCCUGGUGUCUGCCAUCAGAGGUAAGUGUGGUCUCCCGACCAGAGCAACCACCGUCCUGGUGUCUCCCAUCAGAGGUAAGUGGGGUCUCCUGACCAGAGCAACCACCGUCCUGGUGUCUCCCAUCAGAGGUAAGUGGGGUCUGUUUUUGAAAGUCACUGACACGAAACCGUGCAGAAUGUACUUUUUGUGUCUGAGAUUCACUCACCUCCUUGUGCAGAACCUUGAAGUCCUCGUGAAGAAAUGUGGCCCCAUUAGUGUCCUGCACCUUUUCUCCCCUCACUGAUUGUUAGAAGCCAGGUGCUGUGCUAUGCCUGCUAGGGCCAGUAUUUGACAAAUUCCCUGCUUCGCUAAAGAGGAGGGUUCGUGUCUGGAAGUCACGGGCCCGGUGACAGGCCCACUGUCUGUCCUGGAGGGCCAGACCCAUCGUGCCAGUGAGUGCGGGCCUUGCCCACCGUUGUGUGUGCGGCCCUAGACACACUUGCAGAACUGGCCCCAAUAGGGAGUUUAGAGAGAGGAUUGCACAGGCGAGUGGAUGAAUGAGUGACAUUUCAGAAGCUGAGGUUUGUAGCUGCUGCCUGCAAUCUGUUCUGAAGUCCAGCAGCAGCAAAGGGGUGGGGAGGGGUCAGGCUCACCUGAGACAGGAAGGUGGGUUCCCCCAGGCAGAGGCUUGGCAGAGGGAAUCAUUGUUGGGACAUCUCUAAAAAUAAGUGACAGAAAGUUCCGAGUUCUCUCACGCAGUCUAGAAACACAGAUUCUUACUGCACAGAUUUUUCUUUAAAGUGAAGCAGGAAUUUCAAUGCUCUGAACUGACACCAGCAAACCAAGGCAGUUCUGGCUCAUCCAAGGGUUGGGGUUCUUAUUUCAAACUCGAGAGGCCUGGACUAAGAUGCAUCAUCACUAACCAGGCUCCAACAAGGCAGAAAUGCCGCUUUAUCAAAACCACCGCAGGCUGGAGAGAAAUAAGAGCUGCCUUGCCAAGGCUGGGACCGCCAGCAGAGGCAUACUCAGCUUCCAGGUGGGGCCUGCCAGCUGGGGGCUGGCCCUGAAGAUCACAGACUCCCAGACCGAGGGGGCGGGAAGGUCGUCUCAUCCAGUGGGGACCCCUGUCCAGCCUUUUCUCCUGCUCUGUAGAACCUGUGGGGUCAUUUCAGGAAACAAAAUAUACGAAGCUAUCCAGCCUCAAAGCCAUAAGUAACUAAGUAACUGAAAAAUUAGACCCAAGCUUCCAGAAAAACGGUGCAGAACAUCCUCCCACUCCCUUGGGUUGGGAGCUCCUAAAGGCGUUUCUUAUUCCUCUCUGUUCUUCUGUCACGACCAGGGCUGAGCGUGCGUUCGAGCUUCUCCUGCAUCAUGACCAGGAUGCUCUGGGACACCUUGUCCACGUCUGUGUCCACCAGUCCUGCUCAGAAUCUCCCCAGGGGCUUUUCCACGAUGCCCAUCCAGGCGUCACCCUCACUCUAGGCCAGGAGGAGAAGGCAUGCCCUGAGGAUUCAGCCUCUUCUUCUUCAUCCCUCCCAGCACCCAGUGUGUUGGGUGCACACAUUCCUAGAGACCUUGAGUCCACAGCCCUGGGGCUCUGCACACUGCGGGUCCGGUGGUGUUUCCAGCGCCGUGUGGAUGACUUCCCCGCGUGUUUCCCCCUCUACACAGUUGAGGAACAGAGAAGAUCUCCACUUGCCAACGGACACAGCGCUAGUGAAGCCAAUUAUUGCUACAUCCACUGAUAAAGUUCGGGGGGAAUUAAAUUUUUUGGUCCAUGGAUGCAAAUCGCCUCCAGGCACCUUUACUAUCUCAGUGCUCUCCUCAGGAGGCUGCUGUUGGUGGCCAGGGAUUUUGCCAUAGCAAAGUUCUUACAGAUUCCCAAACAAUAGCACUCAGCUGUCUGCCUCUCUGGCAGGAGGACGGACAUUCGCAGCUUUGGACUCAUUUUCUUCCAAAUAUGAACACUUUCAAAGACAGGGAUCUGCCAAUGACUUUACCAGGAGGGCCUUGCCGGAGCUGUCACUGCUGUGGCAUGCAAGAAAGCAAGAGUCCUCCAGGAAGCCGGCCAAGAGGCGCCUUCUCUUAGGCCAAACAUGGGCAACAUGAGAAUAAGAAUACACAAAAUCAGGAGAACUAACAGGAGGCUGUGAGGAACUCACCCCAAAUAAUGAGGAAGCUGGAGAAUAAGACCAGCCUGGUCCAACUAAUGGCUGCUCCGUUGGAGGCACAGGAGUGCAGAGGCAGCGAGGCCUGCAGAAGACCCCUCGCUGCGCUGGGCGGCAACUCCAGUGAAAAGCUGCUAAUCAAACACAACUGAAUUCACACUAUUUUAAAAAUAAGUCUGUAAAGGCAAAACAGGUUAAUAGUAUUUUGACACUAAGCUUGUAGUUAUAACAGAUACUUUAAAAGGUCAAUCCCAGUUACCACGGUGACUGCAGCUCAGGCACCGCAGAAGUGCGUGAGGAUGAGAGUGAGGGAGCCGCAGCCUGGAAGGGUGGGUCCCAAAGUCUCACUGGCUGAUAGGGUUUGGCUGUGUCCCCACCCAAAUCUCACCUUGAAUUGUAGGUUCCAUAAUCCCCACGUGUUGUGGGAGGGACCUGGUGGGAGGUAAUUGAAUUAUAGGGGCGGGUUUCUCCCGUGCUGUUGUUGUGAUAGUGAAUAAGUCUCACACAAUCCGAUGGUUUUAUAAAGGGCAGUUCCCCUGCAUACACUCUGUCACCUGCCGCCCUGUAAGAUGUGUCUUUGCUCCUCCUUUGCCUUCCACCAUGAUUGUGAGGCCUCCCCAGCCAUGUGGAACUGUGAGUCCAUUAAACCUCUUUUUCUUUAUAAAUUACCCAGUCUCGUUUAGGUCUUUCUUAGCAGUGUGAGAAUGGACUAAUACACUGGCAAAUACCAGGGACAACUGUGGUGGUUGUUGUAACAAGAAGGAUGACAGUCUCUGCCUACUGAGCACACAGUGUGCCGGAUGCUGCAGCGCAUGUGGGCAGAGAGGCCUCACUCUGUCUCACAGCGACCCCAUGAGGCAGGUGUCACUGCCUCAAGCUACAAAUAAAGAAACCGAGGCUUGAGAAGAAUCAGUGACCUGUAGGAGAUCACGCAGUUAAUAAGCAAUCAGGGCCGUGUUUGCAACCCAGACAGAACUUUCAAGCCCUUAUCAGCAACAUGGAAAUAAAUAACUCAAAGGUUAAUUCCAGAAAGUUUCCUUACUCAAAGCGCAUCUUGGCAUUGAUUUCACAGGCAGCAAGCCUCAUCCCAAGCAAUGCUAAAAGGUUUCAUCACCCCAGCCCCAUCCCCAGGCAUCUGCUUGUCAGGCUUUAAGGUGAUAAAGAAAGAGGAAGGAUCAUAAAAACACCCACGAAGAAAUACAAGGGGGCUAUCUAACUAUUUUGGAAUUAAUCCCCUAGACUUUUGGAAUGAGGAUACAUUGAGGAAAAGGUUAUGGCAAGUUUGAGUCUGUCACCAACCUGCAUCCGAGCCCCAGCAGGCCCUUCAGGUAACAAAUCAAAGGCCUGUGUCCUGGUUCUUGCCCCUGCAGUCCUGGCCAACACUUUCUCUUAAGCGGCACCCACUGACCGGCUGCCUGGCAGCCUCCUCACCUUCCCUCUUCACUUGCUACAUCUGAUCCUUCAACAAGGCAGGAGUCCUGCGUCUACAGGCUUCUCCAGGAGCGAUCUCUCUGUCAGGCUAAUUAAACGGCAGCUACUCCCCAGGACAGUCCUGGAAUCCUUGCUGAAUCGUGGAAGCUCCAGGCAACCACAAUACCCAGAAUCUUUCCGUCACAGUUUAAGCCAGAGGUAGGGUCCCAGCAGGGGCCACUCGACCUUGCAGGAAAGCUCCCACAUCCUACCCACGGGAUGUUCUGGACCCCACUUCUGUUGUUGAGGAAAAAACAAAUUCAAAGAGCAGACCUCACAGAGAUGUUCUCACAAGAAUCAAAUCAAUUCAGACUCAUAUAUUUUAAGUUAAAAGGAAGCAUUUGAGAUGUAUAUGUAUCAUUGUCAAUUUCCUGCUUUACCUGAUUUUUUCACUUAUUUGAAAAUAUUUCAACAAAUAAAAGGGCUCCUAAGUGUUCAGCAUGUUUCUGCAUCUAGUCACCUGCUUUUUCAUGUCCCUUAGUGGAGUUUUAUAUUUCUGUUUGCUUUACAAAUGUGUACAUGGUGGGUUUUAUAUUUUUAUGCUCUCAGACUUACCGGUCCUCCCAUCUCUGGUUUCUGCCUUUGGUAUCAUGCUGACAUCUCUCAACUGACCCAAUUUUUUCCUAUAGUUCCUUACAAAAUUUGUUGUUUCUUCAAUAUAAAUUUUGUACUCAUCUCUUGGCCUAACAAGUCCUGGGUAUUUAAGAUGCUGGGUUGUUAUUUCGAACAGGCUCCCCCUCACUCUUGCUUGCGAGGUGGUUAUUGCUAGCAUCUGGGAAUGCUAUUGGAUUUCUAUAUUGAUUUUACUCACCAUCAUUGUAAUUUCCUCUCUUAAUUUUACUAACUUUGAGUCCAUCCUUUGGGGUGUUUGGGAAAGUUUUUUGGCUUGAAGUUCUGACUCUGGAAUCAGCCAGACCUGCGUUUGCAUUCCAGGAGUAGCAUCUGUAAGACUUAUGGUUCCAAACCAGAGUUUCCCUAGGAAAUAAACACGGAGGGGCUGAAAGGACCUGGGGCCAUCGGGGGUGGAUGGCCAUAUCCUGGGGCCUUGAUGCCAGUGCCGACUGUUCCCUGCACGCUUCCACGUCCACGCCAACAUUGCAAGGCUAUGUCACGGACUGGAACAGCUACAGUGAUGACACACCUGAGGUGAACACAACUCCAGCAGCAUCCUGGCCUCUCAUGGGGCAAGUGCAUGUGGAAUCUAGAAACUUCACAGCUGAGCCUGCAAAGGUGCUCAUGGCAUGCAGAAGUGUUUCUGGAUCCAGUGGUAGGAAGUCAUUUCAAGCAGCUUGUGAACAUUCACAGAAGCAGCUCAGGAUCAUCCUGCUGCUUCUGAGAGCAGGUGUCGGGCCCCAGGCUGGAGGCCACGUGCCAGGCUGGCAGGAUUUGUCCACUGUGAAGCUCGACGCCCCCGCAGGCCCUGUGCUGCCCGCCCGGAUCCCCCUGCCUCAGGAUGCCCUCCACACCCUCCGAAUUCCCAGCCGCUGCUCUGGGGCCUGCACAGAGGGCUUGGGCCCAGCACCUGGAAACUCCAAAGAGGCAAACGGGUUCAUGUCCAGGUUUUGUCAGAUCGCUUCCGAGGCUGCCCUCUUCGCCGUGGCUGCUGAGUGCAGAGCUGGGCAUCUGAGUGGACAGAGUGGUGCUCCGCUUCCUUGCAUCUCCUGGGCCAUGCGUGGUGACCUGUGCCCACUGCAUCGCUCCUGUGUGCCCUGUGCAUGUGACCGUGUCUUUCCCGUGUAUUCAGUGCUGCUUCAUGUCUUCCAGUUCCGCUUUGUGGUUUGUGAGUGACCAGUGCAUCCCGUUCCUGCUGCAGCAGCUGCAAUGUGCACUGUCCUGCAGGAAGCCCUCGGGGUAGGGCCUGGGGGCUGUGGGAAGCUCAGCAACAAGAUUCCCAACACCAGAGCUUCUAAGAGACCUGGAACCUCUUGAGUGAUGAGCGUGUCUUUUGUGUGCUGACGAGAGGACAGAGCUGGUGACCCUUGGGCAGCUUCAGGAAGGGACUGCUCCCCAGAAAGACCAAGGCAGGACUUAUAGGUGAGGACUUUCAGAUCCACCCCAACCUCCAGGAAGCGGGAGGGGAGAGAGGACAGGAGCUGAAGAUGGAACUGAUUACCGAUGGCCAAGAAUUUAAUCCAUUAUUCUGUUAAUGAAAAACCAAACUCUGUAAAACAUUUUAAAGAGGUUUAUUGGGACCCCUAAUACGGUGACCACAGCUUGGAGAAAAAACAAACCCAAGAAGCCUAGAGUGAGUGUUCCUGAGGUGCCUGGAUUACAGUCUGGCUUCAUGCACUUUAGGGGACAGGCGUUACAGGUGGACGAGAUAUAUAUUGGCUCAGCUCGAACACGCGGGAUAUCUGGAAGCAAGCCUUAUCGGUUAUAGGUGGAUUCAGAGAGUCUUCAGUUUGCGGCUGGUUAAAGGAGCAAAGCUUUAUCUAAAACCUAGAGUCAGCGAUGAGGACAUCUGCACCCGAAACAUGGGGCAGGGGUGACUAACAGGGUGCAUGACUUGACUUAACCCUCGUCUGACAUGGUCUUGGGUCCUGUUUGUAACUGGGGCUCUUAUUGCCACGGUCAGUUCUGUCAGCCUUCUGAUCUCUGUUUUGACAUUAAUGCCUAAAUUCCAAAGGGAGUGGGAACAGCCAGGCGUCCAAUCUCCCUUCCUGUUGCGGCCGGGAACUGUUUUCCAGGUUUCUCUGGGGUCCCCUUGGCCAAGAGCGGGUCCAUGUAGUCACUGGGGGCCUUAGGACGUUAUUUUUGGUGCCUGUGUUGGGGCUUAGAAGAUCAUACUCCAAAAUGAGGGCCCCAGCAGCAGCCUCUGAAGCAAGUUUCUGUCUGAGCUUCUCCCAUCCUCUGUGUCUCAGUACCACUCUCACUCAAGGUGCCAUAGAAAUGGGAAUCCUUCUUCCCCACAGUGGGUCCUAGAAACCAGAACCCCUUUCCCCAAAGCCAGCCAUACAACCAAAAACUAGGGCUCUAAUUUUCCCUGUGCCUCUGUGUGUACAAACUGGCCAUAAAGAAAUGGUCUGACCUACCUGGCUUGGCUGUAGCUCCUAAGACCCCCAUUCCAGAGAGGGUCCCACCCACACCCAGAAGGAGAGGGCGCUGCUCAGAGAGGCCAAGGAGAAUCCAGACACACAGACCAGGCUGGCUUUCCCCACUCAGUCCAUUAGCAUCAGAUCCAGCUAAGCCUCCAAUCCUAUUUCUACAUGGCUGCCCAUACUUCAUUGAACCUAAGCAUAAAAAUGAGCUGUUUAUCUGAAGGGUCCCUUGUAUACACAUUAAUUUGUGUGCCUUUUCUCCAGUUAAUCUGCUUUUUGUGAGUUGACUUUUCAGAGAACCCUUGUAAGGCUGAGGGAAAAGCUCUCCCUUGGCCCCACACCUACAUAAUGGAACCUCCAUGAGGUACACAUAAUUUAGGAUGUCUAUCCUAAAUGAUGGGGUUCCAAAAACUCCCAGGGUGGUGAAUUCAUCCAGAUGCCGGGAGGGAGGACGGUGCACUGCAACCCAGGUUGUUAGUCUCAGAAUUGAAUGGAAUUCCAGGACAUCCAGUUGGCAUCCAAGGAGCUGGAAAACUGGGUGGUGUGGGAAAUAAAAACCUGAUAGGUUUGGGAUCAUGAGAGAAAGAGAUACCCUUUAGCCACCUUCUCUGUUUCCUCAUGAGAAAAGAAAGUCAUGUUUAUCUGAGGACUGUGAGUCCUUUUAAAUUAUCAGGCCCAAGGUGUUAAGAUGAGGCAGCCGUCAUGUCCUACUCCCCCCUGCCUACUCAAGCUGUGUAUUCAUCUCUGGAAACUGCUUGCUGUUGCCACAAGAGGCUAUAAAUUAAUCGAACAAUGCUACACUGGACACUGUAACCACACCCUAUAGCUUAACAAUAUAUAGCCCAUCAAUAGCUUAUUUUUUUUUGAGACGGAGUCUUGCUCUGUCACCCAGGCUGCAGUGCAGUGGUGUGGUCUCAGCUUACUGCAACCUCUGCCUCCUGGAUUCAAGCGAGUCUCAUGCCUCAGCCUCCAGCGUAGCUGGGAUUACAGGCACACGCCACCACACCAGGAUAAUUUUUUGUAUUUUUAGUAGAGACGGGGUUUCACCAUGUUGGCCAGGCUGGUCUCAAACUCCUCACCUCAAAUGAUCCGCCUGCCUUGGCCUCCCAAAGUGCUGGGAUUACAGGUGUGACAACACUCAGCCUAGCUUAUGUUAUUUUAAUGUAAAUUCUUGGUAAACAACUUGGGACCUGCCUCUUCUCCCCAGAGUCCUGGAUAACCCUCUCUGCCCUGUCUCCUUCCCACCUACCGCCCUGAAGGCUGCUUCCGCCUCUGCCCAGACUGCAGAUGCUCCCAGGCUGUGUCCUCUGCCCGCCUCUUCUCUCCAGCCCUCUCUCAUGGCAGUCCCACCUGACAACUCCCAUGGCCUCCUGGGUGUCCUGCAAAGGCUUUGUCACUGGUGUCACUCCUCCAGGCCUCAGAUAAUUCCAGAUACACAAGCGCUCUCCCAACAAGCCAUAUUCUCACCUCUGCAAAGCAUUUCCAAGCAUCUCCGUUUCCUCUGCAUAAGCGACACGGCCCAGCCACCCGAGCCCUCGUUGCCAUCCACCACUGGGCAUCAGCUUCCACUCCCGUCUUUCUCGUGUCCUCUGGUCCAGCCCCUGGUGAGCUCCAGCCAAGCACCGCCUACUGGGCCUCUGGUCUUUACCUGUUCUGUUCCCUCUGCCUGGAGUUUUUUUAAGUAGAAAAAUGCGAGAAUGUGGAGUGGGAAUGUAAAAUGGUGUGGCUGCUGCAGAAAACACUUUGGUGGUUCCUGAAAAAGUUUAGGCAUACACUUAGCAUGGGACUCAGCAUUUACCCCUUAAGCACACGCCCCAUGGAAACAAAACCUGUUCCCUCGGAAACGCGCACACAGACGCUCGUAGCUACGUCCUUCGUAACAGCUGGAAGGCGGAUGUUGGGAACAGGCCCCCCAAAAUCUGGCCAUAAACUGGCCCCAAAACUGGCCAUAAACAAAAUCUCUGCAGCACUGUAACAUGCUCAUGAUGGUCAUGACGCCCACGCUGGAAGGUUGUGGGUUUACCGGAAUGAGGGCAAGGAACGCCUGGCCCAUUCAGGGCGGAAAACCGCUUAAAGACAUUCUUAAUCCACAAACAAUAGCGUGAGCGAUCUGUGCCUUAAGGGCAUGCUCCUCCUGCAGGUAACCAGCCAAACCCAUCCCUUUAUUUCCAGCCCAUCCCUUUAUUUCCCAUAAAGAAUGCCUUUAAAUCUAUAAUCUAUAAAAACAAUGCUUAUCACUGGCUUGCUGUCAAUAAAUAUGUGGGUAAAUCUCUGUUCAAGGCUCUCAGCUCUGAAGGCUGUCAGCCCCGAUUUCCCACUCCACACCUCUGUAUUUCUGUGUGUGUGUGUGUCUUUAAUUCCUCUAGCGCCGCUGGGUUAGGGUCUCCCUGACCGAGCUGGUCUCGGCAGGCGGAGACGACCGGGUGUCCACCACAGGUGAAGGGAUUAACAAAUGGUGCCCGGUCCCUGGGGUGGGAUAUUAUGCAUCUGUGAACAGAAGUGAGACACUGAUACACUGAGGGGACUCAGGGGCCACCACUGGGAUGAGGCUUGGAAAUGUGGCUUCCACCGAAAGAAGUGAGACACAAACGUUCGCACACCGCGUGAUUCCUUUUAUAUGAAAUAUCCAAAACGGACAAAUCCAUAGAGACAGAAAGCAGAUCUGUGGUUUCCAGAGGAUGGGGAAGG